AACGAACGCUGGCGGCAUGCCUAACACAUGCAAGUCGAACGAGACCUUCGGGUCUAGUGGCGCACGGGUGCGUAACGCGUGGGAAUCUACCCUUGGGUUCGGAAUAACUCAGAGAAAUUUGAGCUAAUACCGGAUGAUGUCGCAAGACCAAAGAUUUAUCGCCCAAGGAUGAGCCCGCGUAGGAUUAGCUUGUUGGUGAGGUAAAAGCUCACCAAGGCGACGAUCCUUAGCUGGUCUGAGAGGAUGAUCAGCCACACUGGGACUGAGACACGGCCCAGACUCCUACGGGAGGCAGCAGUGGGGAAUAUUGGACAAUGGGCGAAAGCCUGAUCCAGCAAUGCCGCGUGAGUGAUGAAGGCCUAGGGUUGUAAAGCUCUUUUACCCGGGUAUGAUAAUGACAGUACCGGGAGAAUAAGCCCCGGCUAACUCCGUGCCAGCAGCCGCGGU
rnacentral:rRNA from 1 species